GAAGAAAAGGAAUUAUUAUUGAAGGAACAAGAAAAUAAAUUAAAUGCAAAAUUUGAAAAAGAAAAAAAUGAAAUUAUAAUUAAUUUAAAAAAAAAAACACAACAGGAAGUAGAAAAUUUAUAUAAAAAUGAAAUGAAAUUGAUGGAAGAAAAAAAUGAAAAAAAAAUUGAAAAAUAUAAAGAAGAAAUAGAAAAACAAAGGAAAAUGUAUGAAGAUAAUGCAACAUUAAUGAUGGAACAAAAUAAACAAACAGUAGAACAAAUAAAAGAAGAAUGUAAAACAAAAAUAAAUGAUAUAAAAGAAAUGUAUGAUAUGAAUAUGCAACAAAUGCAAGUAGUAAAAAAUGAAAAUGAAAAAUUAAUGCAAAGUAAAAUACAAGAAUAUGAAAACUUAAUUAAUCAAAAAGAAAAUGAAAUUAAAAAAAUUAUUCAAAGUUAUGAUGAACGAAUACAAAUACUAAAUGAAGAAAUGGAAAAUCUUAUACAAGAGUGUGAAGAAAAAUUAAAAAAAGCUAAAACAAGUAGAAAAAGUACUAUCGCUAGUAAUAGUAGUACCGCGUAUAAUGGUGGUGACGUUACUAAUUCUGUCACCGAUUUUAAUGCUAUUGAACAGAGUAUACACGAUAUACACAUGUUAGAAAAUAAGUUAAAAGAAGAAAAAAAAAAAAUGAAUGAUUUGUUAAUUGAAAUGAAUUUAAAAGAAAAAAAUAUACAGGAACUUGAAAAAUUAAACAAAAAAUUAAUAAAAGAAAAUAGGGAUAUAUCGAUUACUGUUAAUAACUUAAAAGAGGCGAAUAAUAAAUUGAAAAAUCAGUUGAACUCGGUUUGUACUGGUAAUGCAGAUAUUAGUGGUAAUGCAAAUAUUAGUAGUAAGAAUGACAAAAAAAACAAACACGAUAAUGAUAAAGACAACGACAACGACAACGACAACGACGACGACAACGACGACGACAACGACAACGACAACGACAACGACAACGACGACGACAACGACGACGACAACGACGACGACGACGACAACGACAAUAACGAAAACAACGACAAUAACGAAAACAACGAAAACAACGAAAACAACGACAAUAACGAAAACAACGACAAUAACGAAAACAACGAAAACAAGCAUAAAAGCAAACACAAACACAAGAGCAAACACGAUGAUGAAAACACGGAAGUCACACAAAGGAGUG
rnacentral:lncRNA from 1 species